rnacentral:rRNA from 1 species
UACAGAGGGUGCAAGCGUUAAUCGGAAUUACUGGGCGUAAAGCGCGCGUAGGCGGUUGUAUAAGUUGGAUGUGAAAUCCCCGGGCUCAACCUGGGAAUUGCAUUCAAAACUGUACGGCUAGAGUGUGGGAGAGGAAGGUAGAAUUCCAGGUGUAGCGGUGAAAUGCGUAGAUAUCUGGAGGAAUACCGAUGGCGAAGGCAGCCUUCUGGCCUAACACUGACGCUGAGGUGCGAAAGCAUGGGGAGCAAACAGG